GAAAGCAUACGUGCCAAGGCACGUUUUCCAUUAAUCAAGAACGAAAGUUAGGGGAUCGAAGAUGAUCAGAUACCGUCGUAGUCUUAACCAUAAACUAUGCCGACUAGGGAUCGGGCGUUGUUCUUUUUAUGACUCGCUCGGCACCUUACGAAAAAACAAAGUUUUUGGGUUCUGGGGGGAGUAUGGUCGCAAGGCUGAAACUUAAAGGAAUUGACGGAAGGGCACCACCAGGAGUGGAGCCUGCGGCUUAAUUUGACUCAACACGGGAAAUCUCACCAGGUCCAGACACAAUAAGGAUUGACAGAUUGAGAGCUCUUUCUUGAUUUUGUGGGUGGUGGUGCAUGGCCGUUCUUAGUUGGUGGAGUGAUUUGUCUGCUUAAUUGCGAUAACGAACGAGACCUUAACCUACUAAAUAGUGCUGUUAGCUUCGGCUGAACUGGCACUUCUUAGAGGGACUAUCGAUUUCAAGUCGAUGGAAGUUUGAGGCAAUACCCAGGUCUGUGAUGCCCUUAGACGUUCUGGGACCGCACGCCGCGCAACACUGACGGAGCCAGCAAGUACUAUCCCUUGGCCGAACGGUCCGGGUAAUCCCCUGAAAUCCCGGCGUGCCUGCGGGAUAGAGCCUUGAAAUUAUUGCCUCUUCCCACGAGGAAUCCCUAC
rnacentral:rRNA from 1 species